CUCGCGAUAGCUCAGUUGGUAGAGCGGAGGACUGUAGUGGACAUUAUGAGGUAUCCUUAGGUCGCUGGUUCAAAUCCGGCUCGCGAGA
rnacentral:tRNA from 1 species